AUCCUCUCUGUCUUCUCUCUUGCUUUCAAGAUGGCGUUGUUGGGGGCUCCGCGGAGCCUGGCGGCUCUCGCCGCCUUCCAUCGGCGCAGGCUGCUGGCAGCUUCCCUGCUCCGGCAGCCGGCGGCCUGCGUCCACGGCUGGACAGCCGGCAGCGGGCUGAAGCGGAGCCAGCCCUCCCCGCGGAUCUAUCAGAUUCCCCAGACAUUCAGACAAGCUACAUGGCAGAGUUUGGGGAGUGGCUAUUCAAGACAAUUAUUAGAUGCUGCAAAGAAUCUCCAGCGGGGGCCACUGAUAGAUAAGAGAACAUGUUGGCAUGGUCAUGCAGGUGGAGGACUCCACACAGAUCCAAAGCAAGGGCUGAAAGAGAUAGAUGCUGGGAAGAUUAUCAGGGCAAUGUUAUCUUAUGUAUGGCCCAAAGACAGACCAGACCUACGAGCCAGAGUUGUCAUCUCUCUAGGAUUUUUGGCAGGUGCAAAGGGCAUGAAUAUAGUGGUUCCCUUCAUGUUUAAAUAUGCAGUAGACAACCUCAACCAGAUGUCUGGAAACAUGCUGAACCUGAGUGAUGCACCACAUACAGUUGCAACCAUGGCAACAGCUGUUCUGAUUGGCUAUGGUGUGUCAAGAGCUGGGGCUGCCUUAUUUAAUGAAGCGAGAAAUGCAGUAUUUGGGAAAGUAGCCCAAAAUUCUAUCAGAAGGAUAGCAAAGAAUGUCUUUCUCCAUCUGCAUAACCUGGAUUUGGGUUUCCACCUGGACAGACAGACAGGAGCUCUGUCAAAAGCUAUUGACAGGGGAACAAGGGGCAUCAGCUUUGUGCUGAGUGCUUUAGUAUUUAAUCUGGGACCCACCGUAUUUGAAAUGGCACUUGUGAGUGGAAUUCUGUAUUAUAAAUGCGGUGCACCAUUUGCAUUUGUAGCCCUGGGGACACUCGGUGCAUAUACAGCAUUCACGAUAGGAGUUACACAGUGGAGGACUAAAUUUAGAAUAGAAAUGAACAAAGCAGAUAAUGAUGCAGGUAAUGCUGCAAUUGACUCGCUGUUAAAUUAUGAAACUGUGAAGUAUUUCAAUAAUGAAAAAUAUGAAGCCCAGCGAUAUGAUGGAUUUUUGAAGACCUAUGAAAAUGCCUCACUGAAGACUACCUCUACCUUAGCUAUGCUGAACUUUGGGCAAAGCGCUAUAUUCAGCGUUGGCUUAACAGCCAUUAUGGUGCUUGCUAGUCAGGGAAUUGUUGCAGGGAACUUGACAGUUGGUGAUCUGGUAAUGGUGAAUGGACUGCUAUUCCAGCUUUCUCUACCACUUAACUUCCUGGGAACAGUGUACAGAGAGACUAGGCAAGCUCUCAUAGAUAUGAACACCUUGUUUACACUGCUUAGCGUAGACACAAGAAUUAAAGACAAAGAGCUGGCUCCACCGCUGCACAUCACACCACAGACUGCUACCAUCGCCUUUGAUAACGUGUAUUUUGAAUACCUUGAGGGGCAGAAAGUCCUUAAUGGAGUGUCUUUUGAAGUCCCUGCAGGAAAGAAAGUGGCCAUUGUAGGAGGUAGUGGGUCAGGAAAAAGCACAAUAGUAAGAUUACUAUUCCGCUUCUUUGAACCCCAGAAAGGAAAUAUUUAUGUUGCUGGUCAGAAUAUACAAGACAUCAGCUUGGAAAGCCUGAGGAAGGCUAUAGGCGUUGUACCUCAGGAUGCCGUUCUAUUCCAUAACACCAUCUACUACAACCUCUUGUAUGGUAAUAUUGGUGCAUCAGCAGAAGAGGUGUAUGCAGUAGCAAAGUUGGCAGGAAUCCAUGAUGCUAUUACCCGAAUGCCCAAUGGGUACAACACACAAGUUGGUGAACGAGGACUCAAGCUCUCAGGAGGGGAAAAGCAAAGAGUUGCUAUUGCCAGAGCCAUCUUAAAGAAUCCUCCUAUUAUUCUCUACGAUGAAGCCACAUCAUCUUUAGAUUCAAUUACAGAAGAGAACAUUCUCAGUGCCAUGAGGGACCUGGUAAAGCACAGAACAACUGUUUUCAUUGCACACAGAUUGUCAACAGUAGUUGAUGCAGAUGAAAUCCUUGUCCUGGAUCAGGGUAAAGUUGCUGAGCGUGGUAGCCAUUUAGAUCUUCUUGCCAGUCCCAGCAGUCUCUACUAUGAGAUGUGGCACACACAGAGCAGCAGAAUACUAAAUAGUAAUAUCAACCAGAAAUGGGAAGAGAGAAAUAACCAUAUGUCCAAAGAAGAGGAAAGGAAGAAACUACAAGAGGAAAUUAUCAACAGUGUGAAGGGCUGUGGAAACUGUUCCUGCUAAAUGUGCGAUGCAGGAUUAAAUUUCUGCUGCCGGUUAAAGGGUGAUACAAGACUGCACUGAAGCACAGCUGUGAUUUGAAAACAUAAACAAUUCAGACACUUCCUGGUUGGUUUUGGUUUUUUACGGUAUCUCAACGCAGCAUAACUUCUCUAACCAAAGGAUUUAUUUCUACAUUGUCAGAAUCUCUAAUAUUUAAUGAGGCCCACACUGAGCUUCUACGUUGGUAGCAAGAUUUUUGUGGGUGUCUGGACACAGGAUUGCACCAUCUCACCUAAAAUAUACACAAGGGUCCCCAGCUGCAAAUGCCAGGAGAACCACAAUUUUGAGGGCCUGACGUCUGUGUUUUAAAAACACAACCAUAAUGUUGUUUUGUUUGGAUUUAAUAUAUUGCAUUGUCCAUUGUGGGAAGAUGGCAGUAGAAUCUUGUGAAAACUAAAAGUAGAAAUAAGGAAACUGAGAAUCUUCUGUAAGUAAGGAACAGGUUGGUAAUAACAUACUUUCAAAUGUAAUAAAAUAUUUAAUUAAACCUGGAGAAUAUCUUAAUAUUUUAUUAAUUACAUUUAUAAUGCUUAUUUCCAGCCCUAUUUUCUACCUAUUAAAACUUCCCAGUGGGUCAGAAGUUGUAAUAGUAAUCUAUGCUUCAAUUCCCAGUGCAUUAGUUACAGGAUAUGCUGUGUGUCUGACUCUAUCAGUGCUGCAGAUGCCUGUCUGUGCCACAUACUCUCAGUGCUAAUAGUGCUGAAGCUAUUUACGUGGUCCUGUGAAAACAGAUGCAUCUAUUUUAAAUUAACUAAAUAUAUAGGGCCAUGUUCUGAUUCUCAGUGGUUCUCAACUUUUUCCAUACUGUGAUACCUCCUUCAAUUUGCAAUAUGAAAAGGGGCAGGGUGGUCAUGAUCUCCCAAAAACACUUGUCUGUGACCUCCCCCAGUUGAGAACCUAUACCCUUACUCCGAUUGAGUUGAACCUUACUCCACAGAGGGUCCCCCUGAAGUCAAUGGGACCACUUGUAGAAUAACCUUACUCAUGCUCGAUAGCACCUUCUUAGAAAUCUGUCCCCUAGUGACAAAGUGAGGUAGAGGGUCUCAUAACUGAACACUUAUAGUGAUAAACAAUAUUGAAAAAUAAAGCAGCCUCUUAAUUUAAAUGAACGUGUGAAGGUAAAAUGUCAUAUUUUAGAUGUUUUUAUGUAUUAAUAAUUGGAUAAUUAAAAAAACAACAUAACACUUCUAUUCCUAAUAGAUAACCAUCUCUUGUCCACAUAUAAACGUUUGUAGUGCUUAAAUGUUCAAUGCAAACUACCUGACAGUUUUCAGUAAAUUUGUUAGUCUCUAAGGUGCCACAAGGACUCCUCGUUGUUUUUACCUGACAGUGUGUCAUGUAAUUCCUCCUGCAAAAGAACUACUGCAGAAUAAAAGUUGACUUGUA